rnacentral:lncRNA from 1 species
CAGAGAAGUGGCUGGCCUGCUCUGCAGUUGGACGUUGAUCUGACCAAGGGUAACUCCCAGCUGGUGCCAGUGGGAGAAACAGUUUGAUCCUUCCUCCGUGCUCGGCUCCUUCACUUUUGGCUUGCGUGCAGCAGGAAGGCAGUUAGAAAUAGCUGUUCUUACAUGCUUAGGCUGUUUGAUUUUGGAACUUGGCGCUGGUUUUACUGGAGAUAGAAGAGCACCCACAAGCAGAGAAUGAAACAUCCUAUCCCCAGUCAGAGCUGUAACAGAAGGAAGGAGUGAAAGGGAUCAGUACGAGUGCUUACAGCUGAAGCCCUCUCAACGAAUUCCGUUCACAUUGAUGCAGACUCUGAAAACUCCAGUCCAACACACGCCACAGUCACAAAGGCAGGUGCAGUCCUCUUCAAAACCUGGAAUGGGAUGGCUUCAGUUCUCAGAGAGAAGCAAAGUUCAUCAGAGCUACGGAAGCACGGGCAAGGGAAGCAGCCCAGAGGGAACACUGCCGAUCCAUCCGUGCCAUUAGCGAGGCACUGGCCUGAUCCUGUGCAUCUGCACCAACUACUG